AUUGAACGCUGGCGGCAGGCCUCACACAUGCAAGUCGAGCGAGCGGCUGACGGGUGAGUAAUGUAUGGGGACUGCCCGAUAGAGGGGGAUAACUACUGGAAACGGUGGCUAAUACCGCAUACUGUAGGAUAACCCAUAUUGGAUUAGCUAGUAGGUAAGGUAAGGGCUUACCUAGGCGACGAUCCCUAGCUGGUCUGAGGGGAUGAUCAGCCACACUGGGACUGAGACACGGCCCAGCCUCCUACGGAGGCAGCAGUGGUGAAUAUUGCACAAUGGGCGCAAGCCUGAUGCAGCCAUGCCGCGGGUAGGAAGAAGGCCCUAGGGUUGUAAAGUACUUUCAGUCGGGAGGCGUUACCUACAGAAGAAGCACCGGCUAACUCCGUGCCAGCAGCCGCGGUAAUAC
rnacentral:rRNA from 1 species